GUUCUACUGAAGUGGGCAAAAUCCCCGAGAAGCAGCGGUGUCCCCAGCCUCUCACUCGGAGCCGAUAUGGGGAGUAAAGGGCCUACCUGGAUGUGGACCUCACCCUGACUCGGGAGCAGACGGAACGUUUGUCCCAGCAGAUCACCUCCCGCGUGGUCUCGGCAGCCACGCAGCUGCGGCAUUUCUUCCUGGUAGAAGACCUCGUGGAUUCCUUCAAGCUGGCCCUCCUCUUCUACAUCUUGACCUUCGUGGGUGCCAUCUUCAAUGGUUUGACUCUUCUCAUUCUGGGAGUGAUUGGUCUAUUCACCAUCCCCCUGCUGUACCGGCAGCACCAGGCUCAGAUCGACCAGUAUGUGGGGUUGGUGACCAAUCAGUUGAGCCACAUCAAAGCUAAGAUCCGAGCUAAAAUCCCAGGGACCGGAGCCCUGGCCUCUGCAGCAGCCGCAGUCUCCGGAUCCAAAGCCAAAGCCGAAUGAGAACGGUGUCUCUGCCCGCAGGACGCCUGCCCCCACCUCCCGCAGCCCUCUGCCCCCCUCCAUGUCCCGU
rnacentral:sRNA from 1 species